rnacentral:misc_RNA from 1 species
AAGUCGUAACAAGGUUUCCGUAGGUGAACCUGCGGAAGGAUCAUUGAAAAAUGUUAGACCGUCUCGGUCUGCAGUAAAUCCGAAUAGGAAACUGUUCGACGCCUCAAAAGCCCCGUCUUUGCGGACUUGGCUGCUGAGGCAUCACUGGCGUGACUCACUUUUGAAUCGCGCCUGUACUUUGUUUCUAACCCGCCUUUUGAUUUGACUGAUGUUUGUUGUUUUGGAGGGUUCUGUUUGCACUCCUUAUGGGUGUUUCAGUACCUGAAAAUAACUAAAUUACAACUUUUAACAAUGGAUCUCUUGGCUCUC